rnacentral:tRNA from 1 species
GCUCCUGUGGUGGAAUGGUAUACACACUGACCUCAAAAGUCAGGGCUUGAAAUAGAGAUUAAGAGUUCAACUCUCUUCAGGAGUA